rnacentral:pre_miRNA from 1 species
CAUAUCAGAAAAAAUUUAGCCUCUUUUAGGCUUUGUCUUUGAAAUUACUGCUAAGAGUAAGAACUUUGCGAUUAGACAUAGCCUUAAGAGGUUAGGUGAAUUCUCGAUAC